GGAGUGAUGAAAAUAAGGUUUUGAGAGUUGUUGUUUUUGUGUUUUUGAAGUGAGUAUGAGUGGUUAUGUUGAAGGUGACAUAACAGGAUUGAGUUAUGGUGUAUGAUGUGUAUUUGGAUUUUUUAGUUUUUGGUGGUGGUAAUGGAAAAUGGAAAGAAAGAAGUAAUAUGGAAAGGUGUUAUGUGGAGUGAAGAGAAAUUU
rnacentral:lncRNA from 1 species